AGCUGCUCCUCACAAGCCACAUUUUUAACUGAGUGCUGAUUUAAAAUCAAGUUUGACAAAUAGCAUGUUGGGGUUGUCAGGUCCUGGAGCACUGUCUUCCAGGAAGUAUGAAAAAGGCACCAGAGGAGAGCUUGGCAUAGACUCCCAUAUGACAGUAAUUAAAGGCUUUUGCACUCGGGCUCUGGGAGCUGCUCCUCUUGUAAAUUGGCCUUGAUUGAAGAGGAAGAGAAUGAUUAGACUGGAGGAGAGUGAUGGGGGUGGCAGGAGAAAAUGCAGAGAGAUGCAAACAAGCCUUGAGAGGGGCAGACAAGAUUUACCCAGGAAGCAAUAGGAGCCCUUGAGCCCCGAUGCCAAUAAUCCUCAUCUGGAGUCAGUCCCGUUGGCUCCAGCCACUGCUGAGCUUGCUGGUGGAGAAAACCACUGCAUUGGAUCAAAUCAAUGUUAAAGGAAACUUCACAGAAGUCAAUAGCUAGUGGUCAAGAAGAGUUGCCAGACUCUUGCUUUCUCAGUAACUAAUAAAAGUGCUUUUUAGCACAAUUAAUGUGAUGUCUUGCUGAAGACUGAAGGAAAUCGGAAUUGAAACAUUUCUAUUUUGACAGACUCAGUGGAAAACUUCUGUUCAGACUGGUAGGAAUGAGACCAAUAAAUUUCUGUAAAAACUUUCUGAAUUCAGCCUUCAAGAUAAUAGAUAGGCUGUUCUGACUGUGGAUAAAUAAACUCUGUUUUAGUAAGCGUUUAAAGACUUUCAGGAUGACGAAGUGGAACAUACUUCAAGUCUCCAAAGAUGGGAAGUGGCUUCUGAGUCAAAUACCAAUCCAUGCCAGGGCUCAUAUUUUAGACUGAGGUCACUCUUUUGUGACUUGUUGACAGUGGUUUUUUUUUGUUGUUGUUUUGCUGUUGUUGUUGUUUUUGUGUUUUGAAGGAAAAAAGAAGAAAGAAAAAAAGAAAAAGAAAACAUCACAGGCUGAAAAUAACAGUAAAACACUCAGCAGCUGCAAACCUGCUCUUAAAAAAAGCUUCCCAGGGGACAUAAAGCUUCAGCUACAGCCCAGAAAACCAGCUCAUCAAGCAACUAGUGAGGUGGAAAACCCUAUCUUGGGUGACAACAGGCCCACCUGUUGCUCAUUUCUGUCAAGGCACCAGAAGACGCCAGGAAAUAUUUGUUCCCACCAGCAAGUACUCAAAGGGCAGCCUCAAGGUGGGAGCAUCUCUCUGCCUUCCCAUUUUGUGAAGACCAUCUCAACUUGCAGCUCUUGCCUGCUCAGGCCAUCCCAAAAGCAGGCGGUGGAAAGGCUGGAUCAGUA
ensembl:lncRNA